CAUCUAUGCGAGUGUGUGAGUGUCAAGCCCGAGCGCGUAAUGAAAGUGAACGGACGUGGGAACCCGCAAGGGUGCACCAUCGCCCGAUCGUGAUGUCUUAGGAAGGAUUUGAGUAAGACCCUCGCUCUCUGGACCCGAAAGAUGGUUAACUAUGCUUGAAUAGGGUGAAGCCAGAGGACACUCUGGUGGAGGCUCGCAGCGGUUCUGACGUGCAAAUCGAUCGUCAAAUUUGGGCAUAGGGGCGAAAGACUAAUCGAACUAUCUAGUAGCUGGUUCCUGCCGAAGUUUCCCUCAGGAUAGCAGUAACGUAUUCAGUUUUAUGAGGUAAAGCGAAUGAUUAGAGGCCUGGGGGUUGAAACAACCUUCACCUAUUCUCAAACUUUAAAUAUGUAAGAAGUCCUUGUUACUUAAUUGAACGUGGACAGAUGAAUGAAACGUUAUUAGUGGGCCAUUUUUGGUAAGCAGAAUUUGCGAUGCGGGAUGAACCGAACGAGGGGUUAAAGUGCCGGAAUAUACGCUCAUCAGACACCACAAAAGGUGUUGGUUCAUCUAGACAGCAGGACGGUGGCCAUGGAAGUCGGAAUCCGUUAAGGAGUGUGUAACAACUCACCUGCCGAAUGAACUAGCCCUG
rnacentral:rRNA from 1 species